UUUCCGUAGGUGAACCUGCGGAAGGAUCAUUACUGGGUCAUCAAGGCCUCGUGCCUGCCACCCGCCCUCUGUCAUUUGCAACCACAUUGCUUCGGCCGCUGGUUCGCGCACAGCCCCUACCCGGGAGCUUGUGGCGCGGUCCACGGUCGGUCUUCCAACUCUUGAAUGAAUGUAUAUUGUCUGAAGAUUUAAAAUAAUAAACGAAAAGCAAAACUUUCAACAACGGAUCUCUUGGUUCUGGCAUCGAUGAAGAACGCAGC
rnacentral:misc_RNA from 1 species